UCAAACUUGGUCAUUUAGAGGAAGUAAAAGUCGUAACAAGGUUUCUGUAGGUGAACCUGCAGAAGGAUCAUUAGUGAAGAUUUGGGCAGGCCAUACGGACGCCAAAAAAGUGUCCCUGGCCGCCUACACCCACUAUACAUCCACAAACCCGUGUGCACUGUCUUGGAGAAAGGCUUCUUGAGAAGUUUUGUGGCCUCUCUUGGGGUCUUUCUUCGCUACAAACUCGAAUGGUUAGUAUGAACGUGGAACUUGGUUGGACCGUCACUGGCCAACAAACUAUACACAACUUUCGACAACGGAUCUCUUGGUUCUCCCAUCGAUGAAGAACGCAGC
rnacentral:misc_RNA from 1 species